CCUACGGGAGGCAGCAGUGCGGAAUAUUGGUCCAUGGACGCAAGUCUGAACCAGCCCUGCCUCGUGCAGGAAGACGGCUCUAUGAGUUGUAAACUGCUUUUGUACGAGGGUAAACGCAGAUACGCGUAUCUGUCUGACAGUAUCGUACUAAUAAGUAUCGUCUACCUCCGUUCCAGACGCCGCGGUAAUACGGAGGAUUCAAGCGUUAUCCGGAUUUCUUGGGUUUACAGGGUGCGUAGGCGGUCGGAUAAGUUAGAGGUGACAUCCCGAGUCUCAACUUCGGAAUUGCCUCUGAUACUGUUCGGCGAGAGAGUAGUUGCGGUAGGCGGAAUGUAUGGUGUAGCGGUGAAAUGCUUAGAGAUCAUACAGAACACCGAGUGCGAAGGCAGCUUACCAAGCUACUUCUGACGUUGAGGCACGAAAGCGUGGGGAGCAAACAGGAUUAGAUACCCGAGUAGUC
rnacentral:rRNA from 1 species